UCUGUUUGAAGGUAUAAAGAGUCUAGCCUGCCCCCUGAUUUUUGAGUUAAAGGGCCGCGGUAUUAUGACCGUGCAAAGGUAGCAUAAUCAUUAGAUUCUUAAUUGGAGUCUUGUAUGAAUGGUUGGACAAAAGAACAACUGUCUUUAAAUUAAUUUUGAAUUUAACUUUUAAGUGAAAAGGCUUAAAUAUUCUAAAGGGACGAUAAGACCCUAUAAAACUUUACAUUGUAAUUUUUAUUUUUUUGAAUUUAAUAUAAAAAUUUAAUUUAAUUAUUUGUUAUAUUGGGGAGAUAUAAGUCAAAUUAAUUUUAACUGCUUAAAAUUAAAACAAUUAUAUAUGAAUAAAAGAUCCUUUAUAAAGAUUAAAAAAUUAAGUUACUUUAGGGAUAACAGCAUAAUUUCUUUAGAGAGUUCUUAUCGAGAAAGAAGAUUGUGACCUCGAUGUUGAAUUAAAAUAUCUAUAUAAUGUAGUAGUUAUAUGAGAAGGUCUGUUCGACCUUUAAAAU
rnacentral:rRNA from 1 species